rnacentral:rRNA from 1 species
GACGAACGCUGGCGGCGUGCCUAACACAUGCAAGUCGAGCGAGUGAAUCUCCUUCGGGAGUGAAGCUAGCGGCGGACGGGUGAGUAACACGUGGGCAACCUGCCUCAUAGAGGGGAAUAGCCUUUCGAAAGGAAGAUUAAUACCGCAUAAGAUUGUAGCUUCGCAUGAAGUAGCAAUUAAAGGAGCAAUCCGCUAUGAGAUGGGCCCGCGGCGCAUUAGCUAGUUGGUGAGGUAACGGCUCACCAAGGCGACGAUGCGUAGCCGACCUGAGAGGGUGAUCGGCAACAUUGGGCCUGAGACACGGCCCAGACUCCUACGGGAGGCAGCAGUGGGGAAUAUUGCACAAUGGGGGAAACCCUGAUGCAGCAACGCCGCGUGAGUGAUGACGGCCUUCGGGUUGUAAAGCUCUGUCUUCAGGGACGAUAAUGACGGUACCUGAGGAGGAAGCCACGGCUAACUACGUGCCAGCCGCCGCCGUAA